UAUUCAACUAUUAAAAU
rnacentral:tRNA from 1 species